CGGAGUUUACUGGCUAGUAAGCACCAGUUGAAUGAUGUGUGAAAGUACACGAGCGGCGGACGGCAGAGUAACGCGUAGGAACGUACCCCAAACAGAGGGAUAAGCACCGGAAACGGUGUCUAAUACCGCAUAAUAUCUUCGGAUUAAAGCUUCGGCGGUUUGGGAGCGGCCUGCGUAUGAUUAGCUAGUUGGUAAGGUAACGGCUUACCAAGGCGACGAUCAUUAGCUGGUCUGAGAGGAUGAUCAGCCUGACUGGAACUGAGAACGGUCCAGACUCCUACGGGAGGCAGCAGUAGGGAAUUUUCCGCAAUGGGCGAAAGCCUGACGGAGCAACACCGCGUGCAGGAGGAAGGCCUUCGGG
rnacentral:rRNA from 1 species